rnacentral:pre_miRNA from 1 species
UUAACUCAAAUUUGUAUGCAGUUAGAACAGCGCCCCUAGCGGCAAACGUUCCAACUCCAUACAAAUUUGAAUUA